AAACGUCUUCAGGGCGGGGUGAAAUUCCCCACCGGCGGUAAGGGAGCCAUUCCCCAGCCCGCGAGCGCUUUCCGCCAGGGAAAGGUCAGCAGAUCAGGUGAGAAACCUGGGCCGACGGUCAGAGUCCGGAUGAAAGAAGAUGAAG
rfam:Alcaligenes sp. EGD-AK7 Contig1, whole genome shotgun sequence.